rnacentral:rRNA from 1 species
GGUUAAGCGACUAAGCGUACACGGUGGAUGCCCUGGCAGUCAGAGGCGAUGAAGGGCGUGCUAAUCUGCGAUAAGCGCCGGUAAGGUGAUAUGAACCGUUAUAACCGGCGAUACCCGAAUGGGGAAACCCAGUGUGAUUCGUCACACUAUCAUUAACUGAAUCCAUAGGUUAAUGAGGCGAACCGGGGGAACUGAAACAUCUAAGUACCCCGAGGAAAAGAAAUCAACCGAGAUUCCCCCAGUAGCGGCGAGCGAACGGGGAGGAGCCCAGAGCCUGAAUCAGCAUGUGUGUUAGUGGAAGCGUCUGGAAAGGCGCGCGAUACAGGGUGACAGCCCCGUACACAAAAGCGCAUGUGCUGUGAGCUCGAUGAGUAGGGCGGGACACGUGGUAUCCUGUCUGAAUAUGGGGGGACCAUCCUCCAAGGCUAAAUACUCCUGACUGACCGAUAGUGAACCAGUACCGUGAGGGAAAGGCGAAAAGAACCCCGGCGAGGGGAGUGAAAAAGAACCUGAAACCGUGUACGUACAAGCAGUGGGAGCACCCUUCGGGGUGUGACUGCGUACCUUUUGUAUAAUGGGUCAGCGACUUAUAUUCUGUAGCAAGGUUAACCGAAUAGGGGAGCCGGAGGGAAACCGAGUCUUAAUUGGGCGUUAAGUUGCAGGGUAUAGACCCGAAACCCGGUGAUCUAGCCAUGGGCAGGUUGAAGGUUGGGUAACACUAACUGGAGGACCGAACCGACUAAUGUUGAAAAAUUAGCGGAUGACCUGUGGCUGGGGGUGAAAGGCCAAUCAAACCGGGAGAUAGCUGGUUCUCCCCGAAAGCUAUUUAGGUAGCGCCUCGUGAAUUCAUCUCCGGGGGUAGAGCACUGUUUCGGCUAGGGGGCCAUCCCGGCUUACCAACCCGAUGCAAACUGCGAAUACCGGAGAAUGUUAUCACGGGAGACACACGGCGGGUGCUAACGUCCGUCGUGAAGAGGGAAACAACCCAGACCGCCAGCUAAGGUCCCAAAGUCAUGGUUAAGUGGGAAACGAUGUGGGAAGGCCCAGACAGCCAGGAUGUUGGCUUAGAAGCAGCCAUCAUUUAAAGAAAGCGUAAUAGCUCACUGGUCGAGUCGGCCUGCGCGGAAGAUGUAACGGGGCUAAACCAUG